rnacentral:rRNA from 1 species
UACGAAGGUGGCAAGCGUUAUUCGGAUUUACUGGGCGUACAGGGAGCGUAGGCGGUUCGGUAAGCCCUUUGUGAAAUCUUCAGGCUUAACCUGGAACAGUCGGAGGGGACUGCUGGGCUAGAGGACGGGAGAGGAGCGCGGAAUUCCCGGUGUAGCGGUGAAAUGCGUAGAGAUCGGGAGGAAGGCCGGUGGCGAAGGCGGCGCUCUGGAACGUUUCUGACGCUGAGGCUCGAAAGCGUGGGGAGCAAACAGG